rnacentral:rRNA from 1 species
UAAUACGGAGGGUGCGAGCGUUAUCCGGAAUUACUGGGUUUAAAGGGUGCGUAGGCGGCUUUGUAAGUCAGGAGUGAAAGUUUGCGGCUCAACCGUAAAAUUGCUUUUGAUACUGCGAGGCUAGAAUUAGGAUGAGGUCAGCGGAAUGUGGCAUGUAGCGGUGAAAUGCAUAGAUAUGCCAUAGAACACCAAUUGCGAAGGCAGCUGGCUAGACCUGGAUUGACGCUGAGGCACGAAAGCGUGGGGAGCGAACAGGAUUAGAUACCCUGGUAGUCCACGCCCUAAACGAUGCUUACUCGACGUAUGGCCCUAGAGGUUGUGCGUCCAAGGGAAACCGUUAAGUAAGCCACCUGGGGAGUACGACCGCAAGGUUG